CACGUAGGGUGCGAGCGUUGUCCGGAAUUAUUGGGCGUAAAGAGCUCGUAGGCGGUGUGUCGCGUCGGCCGUGAAAACCUGCAGCUUAACUGUGGGCGUGCGGUCGAUACGGGCAUCACUGGAGUUCGGCAGGGGAGACUGGAAUUCCUGGUGUAGCGGUGAAAUGCGCAGAUAUCAGGAGGAACACCGGUGGCGAAGGCGGCAUCCUGGACCGGUAUUGACGCUGAGGCGCGAAAGCUAGGGGAGCAAACGGG
rnacentral:rRNA from 1 species